rnacentral:rRNA from 1 species
AAGCGGUGGAUGAUGUGGUUUAAUUCGAUGACAACGCGAAAACCUUACCCACCUUUGACAUGUACGGAAUCCUUUAGAGAUAGAGGAGUGCUCGAAAGAGAGCCGUAACACAGGUGCUGCAUGGCUGUCGUCAGCUCGUGUCGUGAGAUGUUGGGUUAAGUCCCGCAACGAGCGCAACCCUUGUCAUUAGUUGCUACCAUUAGGUUGAGCACUCUAGCGAGACUGCCCGGGUUAACCGGGAGGAAGUGGGAUGACGUCAAAUCAUCAUGCCCCUUAUGUCUAGGGCUACACACGUGCUACAAUGGUGAGAACAAAGAGAGGCAAGACCGCGAGGUGGAGCAAAUCUCACAAAACUCAUCCCAGUUCGGAUUGCAGGCUGAAACUCGCCUGCAUGAAGCCGGAGUUGCUAGUAAUCGCGAAUCAGCACGUCGCGGUGAAUACGUUCCCGGGCCUU